CCUCGGGAGGCAGCAGUGGGGAAUAUUGGACAAUGGGCGAAAGCCUGAUCCAGCCAUGCCGCGUGUGUGAAGAAGGCCUUCGGGUUGUAAAGCACUUUCAGUGGGGAAGAAAGCCUUGGGGCUAAUACCCUCGAGGAAGGACAUCACCCACAGAAGAAGCACCGGCUAACUCCGUGCCAGCAGCCGCGGUAAUACGGAGGGUGCGAGCGUUAAUCGGAAUUACUGGGCGUAAAGCGCGCGUAGGCGGUCUGAUAAGCCGGUUGUGAAAGCCCCGGGCUCAACCUGGGAACGGCAUCCGGAACGGUCAGGCUAGAGUGCAGGAGAGGAAGGUAGAAUUCCCGGUGUAGCGGUGAAAUGCGUAGAGAUCGGGAGGAAUACCAGUGGCGAAGGCGGCCUUCUGGACUGACACUGACGCUGAGGUGCGAAAGCGUGGGUAGCAAACAGGAUUAGAUACCCCAGUAGUC
rnacentral:rRNA from 1 species